UUGCACUUGACGCUUUGGCUGCUGGAGUACAGGAGGAGUCCUCCACUCACAAGAUCGUGAGGUGCUGGUAUGUUCCUGAGGGUGGCCUGCCUGAGUGUGCAGCAGGGAGGUGUCUGCCAAAUUAAAGAGCCAAGAUAUUUUAAACACUUCCAGAGCUUCAGCAGCCCGCUCCUGAGCACACUUCCUCUGCCAGUUACGAUAACGUGCGUGAGGAGGAGGCGACCAUGGGAAAGCCCGGGGAACGCUCUGGUCAGCCUUUUCCUGUGAGGAUGAGGUCGGAAGGUUCGGAGUGUUCAGUGGACACACGCUUGGCAGUGUAAUUUCCACAGAUCCUCUGAAGAGGUUCUUCAGUCAUACCCUGACUCAGAUACUCACUCACAGCCCUGUGCUGAAAG
rnacentral:lncRNA from 1 species